GGUGCUGCUGCAGGCUCUCUGAGUCUCUUGACCAUGUAAGGCGGGCGGGGCACAACGCACAAAGCUCAAGUCACGCUCUCCACUUCCCUCCAGGAGUUAUUUAGCAAGCAUGACAACACAUCUCUCCCGACAGACACAAGCAAAAACUCUUGCAUAAAUGUAGCAGCCUAUACAUCUAAUCAUUAGUGAUCUGACAUGCUGUAUUGCAUGGAAACUGUAGGCUACUAACAACAGCUACAUAGUCUAGUUUGCUAUGNNNNNNNNNNNNNNNNNNNNNNNNNNNNNNNNNNNNNNNNNAAGCAUGACAACACAUCUCUCCCGACAGACACAAGCAAAAACUCUUGCAUAAAUGUAGCAGCCUAUACAUCUAAUCAUUAGUGAUCUGACAUGCUGUAUUGCAUGGAAACUGUAGGCUACUAACAACAGCUACAUAGUCUAGUUUGCUAUGGUCCUGUCCCUCUGGCCAGGGUAAACACAGUGGUAAUGUUGUGUAUUGUAUAUACAGUAUUUCACUUCAAACAGUUUAUUUCAUUUAAGAUUAAAAAAAAAAAGUGGUUGCCCAGCAUAAAUUCAUCUACAAACAUUUUCAUUACAAUCUUGUCACUUAGCAGAUGCUCUUAUCCAGAGCAACUUACAGGACAAAUACGGGUUAAUUGCCUUGCUCAAGGCGACAAUGACAGACUUUUCACCUAGUCGGCUUGGGAUUCAAAUCAGCAACCUUUCAGUUACUGGCCCAACACUCUUAACCGCUAGGCUACCUGCCGCCAGAUCAAUUAACUUCAAUACAGUUAUUCAAACACAUUCAUCAUCAAUGACUAAAAUAAUGAUUCUACUAUUAAAAGACAAUUUGAAUAAACACAAGUAGAUUCAUACUGUUUAAACAAAAGUUGAGUAAUAUUAAAUAAUCGACCCAAACAAAUGCUUAAAAGUGAUUAUCACACCAUCUUUAUCUGAUAUACACUGUGUACAAAAAACCUUCCUAAUAUUGAGUUGCACCCCCCUUUGUCCUCAGAAUUAGCCUCAAUUUGUCUGGACUAUCCAAGGUGUUGAGAGCAUUCCACAGGGAUUCUGGCCCAAUGCUUCCCACAAUUGUGUCUAGCUGGGAGCGGAUCUCUACUCCGAAUAGCUUGUUCCAUCUCCUGCCACAGAUGAACACUUGGAUUGAGAUCUGGUGACUCGGCAGGCUACUGCAGUAAACUGAAUUCACUGUCAUGUUCUUGGAACCAUUCCUGGACAAGCCUUGUGGCAUAAUCCUGCUGAAGAAAUCUAUUUGCAGAUGGAUAAACUGCUGCCAUGACGGGAUGCACCUGAUUGGCAAUGAUGUUUAGAAUCCUGUGGUAUUCAAAGUUGCUCCACUUUUAUCAAGGGGCCCAGAGUGUGGCAUGAAUACAAACUCCACACCAUCACCACCAGCCUGCAAAGAUGACACGAGGCAUGAUGGAUGUACUCAGGGUUUUCUCCAUACCCCAGUCCUCCCAUCAGCAUGAAACAGCAGGAACAGGGAUUCAUCAGACCAGGCAGUAUGUUUUUCAAAUUCUCCAGCGUCCAGUCUUUUCAUUUCUUAGCCCACUGCAACUGCAGUCUC
rnacentral:lncRNA from 13 species